rnacentral:rRNA from 1 species
AUACGAAGGGGGCUAGCGUUGUUCGGAAUUACUGGGCGUAAAGCGCACGUAGGCGGACAUUUAAGUCAGGGGUGAAAUCCCGGGGCUCAACCCUGGAACUGCCUUUGAUACUGGGUGUCUAGAGUGUGGAAGAGGUAAGUGGAAUUCCGAGUGUAGAGGUGAAAUUCGUAGAUAUUCGGAGGAACACCAGUGGCGAAGGCGACUUACUGGACUGAAACUGACGCUGAGGCUCGAAAGCGUGGGGAGC